GGGGAAUCUUCCGCAAUGGGCGAAAGCCUGACGGAGCAAUACCGCGUGAGGGAUGACGGCCCUUGGGUUGUAAACCUCUUUUAUCAAGGAGGAAGUUCUGACGUGUACUUGAUGAAUAAGCAUCGGCUAACUCCGUGCCAGCAGCCGCGGUAAGACGGAGGAUGCAAGUGUUAUCCGGAAUCACUGGGCGUAAAGCGUCUGUAGGUGGUUCGAAAAGUCCACUGUUAAAAAUUGAGGCUUAACUUCAAAGAUGCCGUGGAAACUUUCAAACUAGAGUAUGGUAGGGGUAGAGGGAAUUUCCAGUGGAGCGGUGAAAUGCGUAGAUAUUGGAAAGACCACCGAUGGCGAAGGCACUCUACUGGGCCAUUACUGACACUGAGAGACGAAAGCUAGGGGAGCAAAAGGGAUUAGAUACCCCUGUAGUC
rnacentral:rRNA from 1 species